GUUGAAAACUGCAUAAAAAGUUUCAGUUUUUCCAAAAAAUGUCAAAACUUUAAUGUUCAUGUGCUUCAUAUUAGUGAUAGUCUGUCUUCUAACACUCAAUUAGAGGUUCCAAAAGCCUUGUAAGGUAUUCAACUCAGAACCCAUGGCUAGGCUACGUCAAAAGUAUUUGAG